AGCCUAGGUCGGAUUAGCUAGUUGGUGAGGUAAUGGCUCACCAAGGCGACGAUCCGUAACUGGUCUGAGAGGAUGAUCAGUCACACUGGAACUGGGACACGGUCCAGACUCCUACGGGAGGCAGCAGUGGGGAAUAUUGGACAAUGGGCGAAAGCCUGAUCCAGCCAUGCCGCGUGUGUGAAGAAGGUCUUCGGAUUGUAAAGCACUUUAAGUUGGGAGGAAGGGCAUUAACCUAAUACGUUAGUGUUUUGACGUUACCGACAGAAUAAGCACCGG
rnacentral:rRNA from 1 species